rnacentral:tRNA from 3 species
GCCCUCAUCGUCUAUCGGUUAGGACGGAAGAUUCUCAUUCUUCAAAGCGGGGUUCGAUUCCCCGUGAGGGCGCCA